rnacentral:rRNA from 1 species
GGGGAAUAUUGCACAAUGGGCGAAAGCCUGAUGCAGCAACGCCGCGUGAGUGAUGAAGGCCUUCGGGUUGUAAAGCUCUGUCUUCUGGGACGAUAAUGACGGUACCAGAGGAGGAAGCCACGGCUAACUACGUGCCAGCAGCCGCGGUAAUACGUAGGUGGCAAGCGUUGUCCGGAUUUACUGGGCGUAAAGGAUGCGUAGGCGGAUACUUAAGUCAGAUGUGAAAAUCCCGGGCUUAACUUGGGAACUGCAUUUGAAACUGGGUAUCUAGAGUGCGGGAGAGGAAAGUGGAAUUCCUAGUGUAGCGGUGAAAUGCGUAGAGAUUAGGAAGAACACCAGUGGCGAAGGCGACUUUCUGGACCGUAACUGACGCUGAGGCAUGAAAGCGUGGGGAGCAAACA